ensembl:lncRNA
CAAAAUGUAUGGCGCAGAAAAAAAUAUAACAGCCUUUUUGCAAAAUGAAGCCUUGGCAUAGAAAUUCUGAUCCUUUUGCCAUAUUCUACCACUUUCAGAAUCUGAGGGAAAGGAACAGACAGCUGAGCCAAGAUAAGGAAGAACUUCUUCACCAAAUAAAUCAUCAAACAGAGAAAUGGAAAGAAGAAAAGACUUGGAUUCUAGAGAAUGUGUCUAAAAACCUAGAUCGUCUUUACGCCCAGCACAUCUUGACUUUGCAGGAACUUCAGAACCUCAGUCUAUAUGUGGAAAAAGUGCAUGACCUUGUGAAUUUCCGAAUAAAAAAUCUUCAGAAAAAAUCUGAAAAGACAGCAAUAGAAAAGGCAGAUGUGUCAGUGGUUUUAGAAUUAAAGGCAGAACAGGUAGCUGAUAAAGAGAUGAAGCCUGAAUGGUUGGUGGAAAAAGGUUAUCUUUGGGAAGCACGGGUCAUGCUGCAAAAGAUACAAGAAUCUUUGGAUAAACGAGAGAAAGAAGUCGCUGAGCUUCUACAAAGUGCAAGGAGAUAUAGCAAAGCAUUGAAACCUCAAAUCACAAUGCAAAUAUUCUUGAAAACUCUUGUCCAGAGGGUUCACAAUAUAUACUGUGAUGUCCCCGAGGCACAGCAGUACCUCCAUCAGCUUAUCAGGAAGAACAAGGAUGAAAGGGCUGAUCGGAAAGAAGCCUUUAAUAAUGCUCAGGCUGACAUUCUCUCCUAUAAAGUGUUUUAUGGAAAUGAACCUAUGGAUGACAAAAGGACACAGGUCUUGACGAAGCUUUUCAGAAAUCUUGGGAGAGCCAAGUCUGAAUUAGAGUAUGUUGAAACAGAGGAGAUUGUGUUUGAUUGUAUCCAGACAGGGGAAAUCCCCAACUGGAUUAAAAAGGAUUGUCUUUAUGUAGCCUUGACAGCGGACCCAGGAAAAGAUAUAUACUCUGCAAAGACAAGCCACCUGCCAGACGAAGUCAUGAAGAAGUUUAAAUCACAAAUCAAGGCUGCUAAUGAAACAAAGGAACAGUAAAAGAGAUACCAGCCCUGGAGCAAGGUCCCUAUUUUAGAGGUGGACACCAGGUAGGUAGCCUGGAAAGAAGAGGUGCUUUCCUCUGUACUUCUGGAGUGGAAACUGGAUUGGAAGAAAUACAAGCCUGUUCCUUACUACAGCAACUACUUACUGCUACUGCUUAACUGCCAGCAAAGGUCAUAUAGCCAUUUAAGCAUUUUGAAAAUUAUACUCACUUUAAUAAAUGAUUUGAAGGCAUCUUAAAAAUGAUAGCA